rnacentral:rRNA from 1 species
UACGGGGGGGGUAAGCGUUGUUCGGAAUUACUGGGCGUAAAGGGCUCGUAGGCGGCCAACUAAGUCAUACGUGAAAUCCCUCAGCUUAACUGGGGAACUGCGUGUGAUACUGGAUGGCUUGGAUUUGGGAGAGGGAUGCGGAAUUCCAGGUGUAGCGGUGAAAUGCGUAGAUAUCUGGAGGAACACCGGGUGGCGAAGGCGGCAUCCUGGACCAAUAUUGACGCUGAGGAGCGAAAGCCAGGGGAGCAAAGCGGG